rnacentral:rRNA from 1 species
GGCACGACACCGGAGAGGGAGCCUGAGAAACGGCUACCACAUCCAAGGAUGGCAGCAGGCGCGCAAAUUACCCAAUCCCGACACGGGGAGGUAGUGACAAUAAAUAACAAUACGGGGUUCUUUAGGAUCUCGUAAUUGGAAUGAGUACAAUUUAAAUCUCUUAACGAGGAACAAUUGGAGGGCAAGUCUGGUGCCAGCAGCCGCGGUAAUUCCAGCUCCAAUAGCGUAUAUUAAAGUUGUUGCAGUUAAAAAGCUCGUAGUUGAAUUUCGGGGUUAGUAGGUUGGUCAUGCCUCUGGUAUGUACUGGUCUCACUGAUUCCUCCUUCCUGAUGAGCCGUAAUGCCAUUAAUUUGGUGUUGCGGGGAAUUUGGACUGUUACUUUGAAAAAAUUAGAGUGUUUAAAGCAAGCUAACGCUUGAAUACAUUAGCAUGGAAUAAUGAAAUAGGACGUUCGAUCCUAUUUUGUUGGUUUCUAGGAUUGACGUAAUGAUUAAUAGGGAUAGUUGGGGGCAUUAGUAUUCAAUUGUCAGAGGUGAAAUUCUUGGAUUUAUUGGAGACUAACUACUGCGAAAGCAUUUGCCAAGGAUGUUUUCAUUAAUCAAGAACGAAAGUUAGGGGAUCGAAGACGAUCGGAUACCGUCGUAGUCUUAACCAUAAACUAUGCCGACUAGGGAUCGGAUGAUGUUAAUUUUUUAAUGACUCAUUCGGCGCCYUACGGGAACAG